rnacentral:rRNA from 1 species
ACUCAAAUGAAUAGACGGGGGCCCGCACAAGCAGUGGAGCAUGUGGUUUAAUUCGAUGCAACGCGAAGAACCUUACCCAGGCUCGAAAUGCAGGAGACGUGGCUAGAGAUAGCCAUUUCCGUAAGGACUGCUGUAUAGGUGCUGCAUGGCUGUCGUCAGCUCGUGCCGUGAGGUGUUGGGUUAAGUCCCGCAACGAGCGCAACCCUUAUCAUUAGUUGCCAACACGAAAGGUGGGGACUCUAAUGAGACUGCCUAGGUUAACUAGGAGGAAGGUGAGGAUGACGUCAAGUCCGCAUGGCCUUUAUGUCUGGGGCUACACACGUGCUACAAUGGCCGGUACAGAAGGCAGCAAAACCGCAAGGUGAAGCAAAUCCCCAAAGCCGGCCCCAGUUCAGAUUGUAGUCUGCAACUCGACUACAUGAAGUUGGAAUUGCUAGUAAUGGCGUGUCAGCAACAACGCCGUGAAUACGUUCCCGGGCCUUGUACACACCGCCCGU